rnacentral:rRNA from 1 species
UGGGGAAUAUUGGACAAUGGGCGAAAGCCUGAUCCAGCCAUGCCGCGUGUGUGAAGAAGGUCUUCGGAUUGUAAAGCACUUUAAGUUGGGAGGAAGGGCAUUAACCUAAUACGUUAGUGUUUUGACGUUACCGACAGAAUAAGCACCGGCUAACUCUGUGCCAGCAGCCGCGGUAAUACAGAGGGUGCAAGCGUUAAUCGGAAUUACUGGGCGUAAAGCGCGCGUAGGUGGUAUGUUAAGUUGGAUGUUAAAUCCCCGGGCUCAACCUGGGAACUGCAUUCAAAACUGACUGACUAGAGUAUGGUAGAGGGUGGUGGAAUUUCCUGUGUAGCGGUGAAAUGCGUAGAUAUAGGAAGGAACACCAGUGGCGAAGGCGACCACCGGGACUAAUACUGACACUGAGGUGCGAAAGCGUGGGGAGCAAACA